rnacentral:rRNA from 1 species
AUUGAACGCUGGCGGCAUGCCUUACACAUGCAAGUCGAACGGCAGCGGACCUUCGGGUGCCGGCGAGUGGCGAACGGGUGAGUAAUGCAUCGGAACGUGCCAUUGAGUGGGGGAUAACGUAGCGAAAGUUACGCUAAUACCGCAUAUUCUGUGAGCAGGAAAGCAGGGGACCGCAAGGCCUUGCGCUCUUUGAGCGGCCGAUGUCAGAUUAGCUAGUUGGUGAGGUAAAGGCUUACCAAGGCGACGAUCUGUAGCGGGUCUGAGAGGAUGAUCCGCCACACUGGAACUGAGACACGGUCCAGACUCCUACGGGAGGCAGCAGUGGGGAAUUUUGGACAAUG